rnacentral:piRNA from 1 species
UCCAAGUAAGAUGCUACCCAGACCUCCGC